rnacentral:rRNA from 1 species
CACAAAAUAUGAAAAGAAAAGAAAAACAAAUCUCCCCACAACCUCCUCCCUCAAAAAAAAAUCUCCCCGCAACCUCCCCGCAGCCUUCUUUGCCUCCUCUAUCUCACCGGCGCGUCGUGGAGCGACCCUUGCCGGAGUGGCGCCACAGAUCCUCAACUAAAUCGAACAUGUAAAGAUUGUUGCCGGCAACUAUGGUGUCGUAGCAGCUGCUCAGGCUCAACUCGCAUGGGAGUUCGUUCCCAAUGGAGAGCGACGACCAUGCCGGAGACAAGGCGGUGGAUGGGCUCGGGGCGGCAUCGCGGCUCCACGCCGGCGUCGUGACCGCCGCCCAGCAACUCCUCCUCUAUUGCCAAUUUGCGAUCGAUUUAGGAAAAGAUGAGGCGCCGCGGCUCCACGCCGGCAUCGUCCCCGCCGCCUAGCAACUCCUCCUGUACUGCCAUUCUCAACUCCAAUUUGCGAUCGAUUUAGAAAAAGGUAUAUGAUCCAACACGGGCUCCGUCUGAUCCAGUUUGCUGCAGGCUUUUAAUUUUUAGUUUCCAUGUUCUGAUUGAACUAGGAUCGAUCUAUGAUAUCCAGUAGAUGAUAUAUAAUCCCAUGAUAGAUGAUGAGUGAUGCAAGGGUGGAAUAGGCAUGGCUGUUUGUAGUAAAUUAAGAGGACAUCGACGUAUCUGAGGAUGCAACGCCGGAGUGGCGCCACAGAUCCUCAACUAAAUCGAACAUGUACAGAUUGUUGCCGGCAACUAUGGUGUCGUAGCAGCUGCUCAGGCUCAACUCGCGUGGGAGUUCGUUCCCAAUGGAAAGCGACGACCAUGCCGGAGACAAGGCGGAGGAUGGGCUCAGGGAGGCAUCACGGCUCCACGCCGGCGUCGUGAACGCCGCCCAGCAACUCCUCCUCUAUUGCCAAUUUGCGAUCGAUUUACAGAAAGAUGAGGCGCCGCGGCUCCACGCCGGUGUCGUCCCCGCCGCCUAGCAACUCCUCCUGUACUGCCAUUCUCAACUCCAAUUUGCGAUCGAUUUAGAAAAAGGUAUAUGAUCCAACACGGGCUCUGUCUGAUCCAGUUUGCUGCAGGCUUUUAAUUUUUAGUUUCCAUGUUCUGAUUGAACUAGGAUCGAUCUAUGAUAUCCAGUAGAUGAUAUAUAAUCCCAUGAUAGAUGAUGAGUGAUGCAAGGGUGGAAUAGGCAUGGCAGUUUGUAGUAAAUUAAGAGGACAUCGACGUAUCUGAGGAUGCAACUCUAUACGAAGGACUGAUGGAGGGGUUAUUGACUUCAGCACCGUUUGAGUUCACUGCCUGCAGCUCCUGCAUCCACUCAGCUGCACCCACCGUAUCCUUAUAUUUUUUGGUAUAUUAUCCAGCCCAUUGAACACAGAGCAGAAUCCCCAAUGAUUGUUUAGGAACUAGAUAUUUGUACUCAUGCAAUUCAUCUCUAAUCCCAUGUCGAGACAUUGAUAUUUACCUGCAGAACAUUACCAACCUAGAUUCUUGGCAGUGCACUGCAUAUUUAGUUCUUCCAUCAAUUUUGUCAUUCUAACAGAAAAAUGGAGCUGAUUCUCACUAGGUGCAGUCAUGGACUGCUGAUAUAACUUCACGGAUGGUAUUUGCUGGAAACUAGAUUCUUAUCUUCUGGUAUUGCCUACAUAUUUCAAAGUGUUUCAGUUUCGGUCAAUGUAGAUUAGUCUUAUUAUGAGUUACACAUGAACCUUUUUUUAACAUUUAGUACAUGUUCAGUUAUCCUUUCUUCAGUUUCCCAUGAUGUGCAUAAUAAUUAACUUCAAAACUUUGUCGAGUAUUAUUUGUUAUAUAUGCAUGAAGUAUCUACAGUUAAUUUCCUGUUGUAAAAAUCAUUUGUUAGUAGCUGAAUCAGAGGGAAAUCUAUGACAAGAAAACCAUCACACAAAUCUUUAAUUAACAGGAAGACGUUACAGAGUAGUAUUACUUAUUAUAUGUGGGUAGUACGUACAAUUAAUCUUUAGUUAUAGAAAAUCAUUUGUCAGUAGCUGAAUCAUAGGGAAAUUUGUGAUAACCGAAUCAGCAUAUAAAUCAUAGUAAUUCUAAGCUACUUUUGUAAGUUCAUUCGAGUGGACUUCGAUGUAAGUAAAUUUUCAUUUUUAUCCUCAUAUCUUGGAUUCUAGGUGAUGAGCCUCGGUUUUGUUGCAUCACAGUUUUGUAUGAUUGGCCACGAGCUACACAAAUACUCCCUCUGAUCCAAAAUAAGUGUCGUGGUUUUAGUGCAAAUUUGAAUUAAAACCAUGACACUUAUUUUGGAUCGGAGUGAGUACCAUAUAGUGUACAUAUAUUUAUGUUGAUGUUAGAAGGCGGAAUGUUAAAAGUUUUCCCAUGCUCUUAUUAUAAAUCUCUUCAUAGUAGCGAUAUGCAGUUUGUGAUUUGUUUCUUUUAACUUCUAUCAGCAUGGAUGAUAUUCCUAAAGGUUGGUCCUGACACUCAGAAGCUCCUCAUAGAGCAGCAGAGCUGCCCUCUCCAUGGCACAUCACUCUGCGUCUAAAUGAGUAGAUGUGCAACCUUCGUGUAUAAAACUAUCAUAUUUCUGCAUGCUAUAACUUACAAAGAAUAAUGUCUCAUGUAUAAAAUAUAUACAGAAUUUUUGGGUCACCACAAGAUUCCUGUUAUAUUAAUGGGCACAACCAAUUUUAGUAUGAACCCCUGUCUUAUUAUGCAUCCAUUGGUUCAUAUUUCAUAUGAUAAAUCUACUAUAGGAUCACUAUAUACACAUAGGAAUCUAGAUUACAUACACAAUCGAAUGGCAAAGAGGGUUCUGUUGCGUUAUUUAACUCAUCCAUUGAACCUUUGGUUCGAGUUUCUGUCCAUUGUAAAGAAAGAUUUUACAACUUUUACCCAACGACUAACAACCAUCAAAAUACAAUUAACUAUAUGUUAGCUUAGCAAACAUGGCAAUAUAUUUUACCGUGUCCUUACAAGACGCACAUUUUCCACAAAUAGGAAAUCUGGCUCUCUGUCAUUUGUUCUUUUUUAUGCUUGGCUGCCCAAUAGAUAGAACUGUUACGUUUUAGUUUGUUGCACCUUAUUGUUUUCUAGAGAUACUAAAAUUUAUCAUGGAGUAGAUCAACUUAACAUUACAUGAAUUUGUAGUUGUAAUUGGGUGGCGAUCGUUCACACAGUUGUUCUGACCAGUAAUGGGAUGCUAAUUCAUCCUAACGAUUGCAUCUUCAACGACGCGCGCCCAUCCAUCCUAACGUUAGUUCACGGCAUCAAGGAGGAGGCCAAACUUUGGGCUCUGGCAGGCGAUGCUGGACUUAGAGUAGUCCGGCCCCCGACCUGGGAUGUGCAUUAGCUCAUGUCCCCGACUGUAAUUCGCCUCCUAGGAGGGCUGUAACAUAAAACACUCUCUCUUUUCCCGAAAAAAAAGGAGUUCUAUUUUAAGCUAAUACUUCUGCUACAAGAUCCGGUGAACAUUAUUGGACCAUUUUAGGCCAGCGUGCACAAGGUAACACGUAAGUAUCAUACUAUUAUUUGUGCCACAUUCAUAUAUAUAUAUAAUUCAUACAUAUAUAUAUAUAUAUAUAUAUAAUUGUAUUUCCGCUGGGACAUAGUACCCGCGGAAAUCCAGUUCGUUAAGCUUCACAAUAAUUUCCGCAUGUAAUUCACAUCACAUUUCAUGUUCUGUGCCAGAAGAUAUUAUAGCAGAGUUGAUUAAACCGUGUUGUUGCUUGAUUUGAGCUUAUUUUGAUUUUUAAAAUGCCCACAUAUGAUUUUGGAAAAAAGGUGUGUAGAAAGAGAAAACCAUAGAGAGAUUGCAUUUUCCCCAACUAUUCAUACUUGCAUUUAUCAUAUUUCUUCACCAAUGUUUAUAUUGAAAGUCGCUCACAUAUUCGGUUCAUGUCAAACUGGGGUCCAUCCGAGGAUGCAUUACACAUGAUAAUGUGUGUAAGUAAGAACAUUAGUGCAUUUGCAGAAGCUGCGCUCAACAUCGCGCAUGAUAUUACUCCAGAUUUUAUUUUAUUUAACUAUCCAUGUUAAUUCCACCAUAAAAGUUCUAUUUCUAUUUAUGUGUUGUUUCUUCACAACAAGAAAUAAUCAUGACAGUAAUUCCGCUGGGCUAAUUGCUUCUCUUCUAUUUCCAACAUCCAAGAUUGACAUAUUCAACACAUGGCAUAUCUUUAGGUUAUUUAUCAUUCGACAUUUGGUGUCCAUUUUAUGGUUUUUCUGUAGUACUUAAUAAUGCCUAUAGUGUAGUAGGCUCAUUAUUGAUUGCUAAAAAUCGGUGUUCCAUUUUGAAAACACGUAAAUUCCAGCAAAUUAAAUUUACACAUGUGCUUUGUUUUGUCGCCAGGUGGUUGUCAAGGAAGAAUUUCCUAGAGCAGCUGCUAUUGGAGAAUUCAGGGAUGAAACUAGGUUUCUGUGAUAAUCUUAGUUGAGGCCAAUUUACAUGCUUUCAUUUGCAUCACCAAUUCUCAUGACCAUGGUUGAUUUUCAAGCAUCACAAAAAUAUCAUUUUCUGAUUAUCCUGAAGAGUAAAUCUGAAUGCCUUCCUUCUCCUUAUUUGGAAUUAGGACAACAGUUUUUCUACUUAUCUUUCCUCCUUUAUACACGAAGGUUACCAUUCUAAUUUUGUCCCUUCUAAACUGCCCCAAGUUGUUCUGAAUGUUACUCCAGUAAGUUGUACAAAAGAUGACUGGAGCUAAUACAGUACGUUUGAAGUUUUACUACUCCCCUGUUCUCAUGAGUUUCGUGUGACUGCAGCAGUGCAACUAAUGUAGUACUCCCUCCCAAAAUAUAAGAUCAUUUUUGACACUAUGAUAGUGUCAAAAAUGGUCUACAUUUUGGGACGGAGGGAGUAUGUUCGAAGUAUUACUACCCCUCCCUAUUCUGCUCAGUUUGGCUUCUGUCAUUAGUUUUUAAAGUGAAAUUCACAUUUUAUAUUUAGACAAGAAUGCGCUUUUGUGAAGUUAGAACUAUACAAAUCAAACUUUAGUAUGUAUUAAUUUCGAAGUUUGUGCAUUACUUGGAAAAUAUUCAGUCUUUGCAUAUCUAGGCUUACAUUGACGUAGUUCUCCGCCCCUUUGAGCUCCAAGCAUUUCA